rnacentral:lncRNA from 1 species
UCCAAUAUGAAUUCUAUUUUAAAGGGUAAAAAAAAUGCAAACGACAUUUUGUUAAGGACAUUUAUGUUUUUAAUAUAACAAUAGUAAUAAUAAUAUAGAUAGUAGAUCCCAACCAAAAAUGAAACCCCAAUUAUAUGCCUAAAAUCUGGCAGCAUAUUAACUUUAGUUAUUUUUCCUUAUUCGUAUCCCAAGCAUCUGUUAUUUAUUCCCAACC